rnacentral:rRNA from 1 species
AUCUAAGGCCACACCACUCAGAACGUGCCUGAUAUCAUCUGAUCUCAGAAGCUAAGCAGGGUUGGGCCUGGUUAGUACUUGGAUGGGGGAACACAAGUUGUACAUU